GACGAACGCUGGCGGCGUGCUUAACACAUGCAAGUCGAACGAUGAAGCUGGAGCUUGCUCUGGCGGAUUAGUGGCGAACGGGUGAGUAACACGUGAGAAAUCUGCCCUUGACUCUGGGAUAACUGCGGAAACUGUAGCUAAUACCGGAUACUUUCCCUGGUGGGCAUCCACUGGGGAAGAAAGAAUUUCGGUCAAGGAUGAUCUCGCGGCCUAUCAGCUGGCUGGUGGGGUAAUGGCUCACCAAGGCGACGACGGGUAGCCGGUCUGAGAGGGUGACCGGCCAACAUGGGACUGAGACAAGGGCCAGGCUCCUACGGGAGGCAGGAGUGGGGGAUAUUGCACAAUGGGCGCAAGCCUGGUGCAGCAACGCCGCGUGAGGGAUGAAGGCCUUCGGGUUGUAAACCUCUUUUAGCAGGGAAGAAGCGAAAGUGACGGUACCUGCAGAAAAAGCACCGGCUAACUACGUGCCAGCCGCCGCAGUAA
rnacentral:rRNA from 1 species